rnacentral:rRNA from 1 species
AGACUGCGUUUGAAACUGUAUAUCUUGAGAGCAGCAGAGGAAGGCGGAAUUCCUGGUGUAGUGGUGAAAUACGUAGAUAUCAGGAAGAACACCAGUGGCGAAGGCGGUCUUCUGGGCUGUAUCUGACGCUCAUGUACGAAAGCUGGGGGAGCGAACGGGAUUAGAUACCCCGGUAGUCCCAGCUGUAAACGAUGGACACUAGGUGUUGGCGGUUCGAAUCCAUCAGUGCCGGAGUUAACGCAUUAAGUGUCCCGCCUGGGGAAUACGGUCGCAAGACUGAAACUCAAAGGAAUUGACGGGGGCCCGCACAAGCGGUGGAGCAUGUGGUUUAAUUCGAUGCAACGCGAAGAACCUUACCGAGAAUUGACAUCCCGUGACUACCUGCAAGAGCAGG